CACAGCUUUUAUCUCACUUCUUGAGACGCGUCCAUGCUGCCACACUCUCGCCCGUGGCUUCCAGAGGAGUGAGGACGGAGGGAAAGGAGAGGACCCACGCUCGAUGGAUCUUUUCCUUUUCUCCUGUCGUCAUUCAGUCCCCGACAGCGUGGGAGGAAGGCGACAUCACCCACUUGGCGGAGGAGGAAACUGAGGCCAGAGGCUGGAAGGGACUCACAAAGGCCACCAACGAGGGACAGGCCGAUGGACGCAGCCCUGGACUGCGGGUCGGCAGUGAGGGGACAGGCCGCGGUCACCAAGUCUCACUGCUCCAUCUGCUGCCUCCUGAUGGGAUCUGUCGCCUCUCCUCCAGGCCCCAUCGGCUCUCCCGAGA
rnacentral:lncRNA from 1 species